GCAAGUCGAGGGGUAGCGGAAGCUUGCUUCCUUUAGACCGCCGCACGGGUGCGUAACGCGUAUGCAAUCUACCUUAUACAGGGGAAUAGCCCAGAGCAAUUUGGAUUAAUGCCCCAUAGUAUUAUUGAAUGUCAUCAUUUGAUAAUUAAAGUUCCAACGGUAUGAGAUGAGCAUGCGUCCCAUUAGUUAGUUGGUAAGGUAACGGCUUACCAAGACUAUGAUGGGUAGGGGUCCUGAGAGGGAGAUC
rnacentral:rRNA from 1 species